CGCCUUGCCAGCCCGCUCAGAACUUAAAGGAAUUGACGGGGCCCGCACAAGCGGUGGAGCAUGUGGUUUAAUUCGAUGAUACGCGAGGAACCUUACCUGGGCUCGAACGUAAGAUGACUGUAGGUGAAAGCUUACAUCUCUUCGGAGCAUUUUACGAGGUGCUGCAUGGUUGUCGUCAGCUCGUGCCGUGAGGUGUCGGGUUAAGUCCCAUAACGAGCGCAACCCCUACCUUUAGUUGCCAUCAGGUUAAGCUGGGGACUCUAAAGGAACUGCCUACGCAAGUAGUGAGGAAGGCGGGGAUGACGUCAAAUCAGCACGGCCCUUACGUCCAGGGCUACACACGUGCUACAAUGGCCGGUACAGAGCGCAGCGAGGCCGCGAGGCGGAGCGAAUCGCUUAAAGCCGGUCCCAGUACGGAUUGGAGUCUGCAACCCGACUCCAUGAAGUUGGAAUCGCUAGUAAUCGCGCAUCAGCAUGGCGCGGUGAAUACGUUCCCGGGCCUU
rnacentral:rRNA from 1 species